UACGAGGGGGCUAGCGUUGUUCGGAAUUACUGGGCGUAAAGCGUGCGUAGGCGGUUCGUUAAGUGCGUCGUGAAAGCCCCGGGCUCAACCUGGGAAUGGCGAUGGAAACUGGCGGGCUGGAGUAUGGCAGAGGGGGGUGGAAUUCCGCGUGUAGCAGUGAAAUGCGUAGAGAUGUGGAGGAAUACCGAUGGCGAAGGCAGCCCCCUGGGAUAACACUGACGCUCAUGCACGAAAGCGUGGGGAGCAAACAGG
rnacentral:rRNA from 1 species